rnacentral:rRNA from 1 species
UACGUAGGGUGCGAGCGUUGUUCGGAAUUACUGGGCGUAAAGGGAAUGUAGGCGGUGACGUAAGUCAGAUGUGAAAGCCCCGGGCUUAACCCUGGAAGUGCAUUUGAUACUGCGUUGCUAGAGUGUGUGAGAGGAAAGCGGAAUUCCCGGUGUAGGAGUGAAAUCCGUAGAUAUCGGGAGGAAUACCGAUGGCGAAGGCAGCUUUCUGGCACAUAACUGACGCUGAGAUUCGAAAGCGUGGGUAGCAAACAGG